rnacentral:rRNA from 1 species
UACGUAGGGUGCAAGCGUUAAUCGGAAUUACUGGGCGUAAAGCGUGCGCAGGCGGCUUUACAAGACAGAUGUGAAAUCCCCGGGCUUAACCUGGGAACUGCAUUUGUGACUGCAUGGUUAGAGUGCGGCAGAGGGGGGUAGAAUUCCACGUGUAGCAGUGAAAUGCGUAGAGAUGUGGAGGAACACCGAUGGCGAAGGCAGCCCCCUGGGUCAAGAUUGACGCUCAUGCACGAAAGCGUGGGGAGCAAACAGG